GGAGGUAACAGCCCUGUAGUCAAAACUUCGUUCUCUCCUGAGUGGAUCCUGAGUACGGCGGAACACGUGAAAUUCCGUCGGAAUCCGGGAGGACCAUCUCCCAAGGCUAAAUACUCCCUAGUGACCGAUAGUGAACCAGUACCGUGAGGGAAAGGUGAAAAGCACCCCGGAAGGGGAGUGAAAGAGAUCCUGAAACCGUGUGCCUACAAGUAGUCAGAGCCCGUUAACGGGUGAUGGCGUGCCUUUUGUAGAAUGAACCGGCGAGUUACGAUCCCGUGCAAGGUUAAGUUUGAAAAGACGGAGCCGCAGCGAAAGCGAGUCUGAAUAGGGCGAUUGAGUAUGUGGACGUAGACCCGAAACCGUGUGAUCUACCCCUGUCCAGGGUGAAGGUGCGGUAACACGCACUGGAGGCCCGAACCCACGCACGUUGAAAAGUGCGGGGAUGAGGUGUGGGUAGGGGUGAAAUGCCAAUCGAACCUGGAGAUAGCUGGUUCUCUCCGAAAUAGCUUUAGGGCUAGCCUCGGUAUAAGAGUAGUGGAGGUAGAGCACUGAUUGGGUGCGGGGUCCGCAAGGAUUACCAAGCUCAGUCAAACUCCGAAUGCCAUAUACUUAUUGCCGGGAGUCAGACAGUGAGUGCUAAGAUCCAUUGUCAAAAGGGAAACAGCCCAGACCAUCAGCUAAGGUCCCCAAGUGUGUGUUAAGUGGGAAAGGAUGUGGAGUUGCACAGACAACCAGGAUGUUGGCUUAGAAGCAGCCACCAUUGAAAGAGUGCGUAAUAGCUCACUGGUCGAGUGACUCUGCGCCGAAAAUGUAACGGGGCUAAACACACCACCGAAGCUAUGGCUAGAUACGUAUGUAUCUGGGGUAGGGGAGCGUUGUAUGUGGGUUGAAGGUGUACCGUAAGGAGCGCUGGACAGCAUACAAGUGAGAAUGCCGGUAUGAGUAACGAAAAGAUCAGUGAGAAUCUGAUCCGCCGAAAGCCCAAGGUUUCCUGAGGAAGGCUCGUCCGCUCAGGGUUAGUCGGGACCUAAGCCGAGGCCGAAAGGCGUAGGCGAUGGACAACAGGUUGAUAUUCCUGUACCACCUUUUUACCGUUUGAGCAAUGGGGGGACGCAGGAGGAUAGGGUAAGCGCACGAUUGGAUGUGCGUCUAAGCAGUUAGGCAGACCAUGAGGCAAAUCCCAUGGUCGC
rnacentral:rRNA from 1 species